rnacentral:lncRNA from 1 species
UUUAUACUGAAUAUCCCUUAUGUCUAUAAGACUUUUUUUUUUACCUUGUAGACUCUCUUCCUUCAAAGACAGAGCUCUGUAACCUGAGUGAACAUAGAAGUGUUUUACUGCAAACCGGUAAAGCAUUUAUUAAAGAUGGUCCAAUGCCUUUGGAGUUCCAGAGACUACAUCAUCAGUCUCCCAAAGAAGAUAUUCUGCAAGCUGAGUUGGUUACCUUCCAAGAGACUACCCUGCCAAGAGCCUAAACACCUGCUGCAGUUACCAAUGCACAUAUUCAUUACACAACUGAGAAGCAACUCACUGGAUAAACCAGCAUGUGAAAGAAAGUGCCAAAUGAGUCUCACAAGAGGCUGAUAAAAUAAAACAUAUAAAUAAAUUAAAAUGAAUGCCUCC